rnacentral:rRNA from 1 species
AAUGCAUCGAGAUUUAAAGCUCCGGCGCCUAAGGAUGGGUCUGCGGCCUAUCAGGUAGUAGUGGGUGUAGCGUACCUACUAGCCUACGACGGGUACGGGUUGUGAGAGCAAGAGCCCGGAGAUGGAUUCUGAGACACGAAUCCAGGCCCUACGGGGUGCAGCAGGCGCGAAAACUUUACAAUGCUGGCAACAGCGAUAAGGGAACCUCGAGUGCCAGGUUACAAAUCUGGCUGUCGAGAUGCCUAAAAAGCAUUUCAUAGCAAGGGCCGGGCAAGACCGGUGCCAGCCGCCGCGGUAACACCGGCGGCUCGAGUGGUAACCGUUAUUAUUGGGUCUAAAGGGUCUGUAGCCGGCCGGAUAAGUCUCUUGAGAAAUCUGGCAGCUUAACUGUCAGGCUUUCAGGAGAUACUGUCUGGCUCGAGGCCGGGAGAGGUGAGAGGUACUUCAGGGGUAGGGGUGAAAUCUUGUAAUCCUUGAAGGACCACCAGUGGCGAAGGCGUCUCACCAGAACGGACCUGACGGCAAGGGACGAAAGCUAGGGGCACGAACCGGAUUAGAUACCCGGGUAGUCCUAGCCGUAAACGAUACUCGCUAGGUGUCGGCCACGGUGCGACCGUUGUCGGUGCCGUAGGGAAGCCGUGAAGCGAGCCACCUGGGAAGUACGGCCGCAAGGCUGAAACUUAAAGGAAUUGGCGGGGGAGCACCACAACGGGUGGAGCUUGCGGUUUAAUUGGAUUCAACGCCGGGAAGGGC